rnacentral:rRNA from 1 species
GACUUAGUGGCGGACGGGUGAGUAACACGUGAGCAACCUGGCCUUCAGAGGGGGAUAACGGCUGGAAACGGUCGCUAAUACCGCAUGAAAUGUCGGAGUGGCAUGGCUCUGACAUCAAAGGAGUUAUCCGCUGAGAGAUGGGCUCGCGUCCGAUUAGGCAGUUGGCGGGGUAACGGCCCACCAAGCCCGCGAUCGGUAGCCGGACUGAGAGGUUGACCGGCCACAUUGGGACUGAGACACGGCCCAGACUCCUACGGGAGGCAGCAGUGGGGGAUAUUGCACAAUGGAGGAAACUCUGAUGCAGCAACGCCGCGUGAGGGAAGAAGGUUUUCGGAUUGUAAACCUCUGUUUUUAGUGACGAAACAAUGACGGUAGCUAAAGAGGAAGCCACGGCUAACUACGUGCCAGCAGCCCGCGGUAAUACGUAGGUGGCAAGCGUUGUCCGGAAUUACUGGGUGUAAAGGGUGCGCAGGCGGGACUGCAAGUUGGAUGUGAAAACUCGGGGCUUAACCCGGAGCCUGCAUCCAAAACUGUGGUUCUUGAGUGGAGUAGAGGUAAGCGGAAUUCCCGGUGUAGCGGUGAAAUGCGUAGA